CUUUGUUUGUGCUCAUUCACAUAGCAUAAGAAGAAUGAGGAGCAGUCAUCAAGACAGUUAGCUGUUGAUUUUCCUUAUUGAUGACAACCAUGGAAGUGAUUUCUAAAUCAAGUGAAGUGAAAUUUUAAGGCAGAAGACAAAGGAACUAUGAUUUAGGUCAAUUUUACCCAUUUAUCUGCAAGAAUCUAAUAUUAUUGUCUUAUUUAAGGUAAUAAUUAUUACUCUUCAAAAACCUGAUCACAUAUAUGGUGCAUUAAUCCAAAUUGUGUACAUGAAAAGUAUCAGUGAUAGAUCAGUAACACCAAACAACCAAGGUUCCUCAAUGUCAAAAACUCAAGUUUCAACAAUUUUCUUACUUCAAUUGUUUCCUGUUUGUAUAUCCAUUAUCCAUAUGUUUUUGUUUUCACCUUCAAUUUGAAUGCCAAACUAAACCAAGUUAUAUGCUCUGUUUUAACAAUGGAUGUAUUGUUCAUUUACAACUUACCUCUAACCAGAUGCUAAGUUGUUUGCAUCUUAUGAUUAUCAUGAAUGUAUAUAGGCAUAAAAAGAAGUUCAAGAAG
rnacentral:misc_RNA from 1 species